GGAAUUCUCAUUCGGACUUCGGCUACACCAUCAAUGCUUUGAGAAGCAAUAAGAAGCUUGGUUAGUAUUUUGGAGUCAAAUAAGACAAGAUGUUAUGUGUUUGAUUGAGUAUAAGAACUAGAACCGCAACAUCUUCCCAAAAGCUAAAGUAAUGUUUCCCUUCUAGAAGAUACAAAGCCAAAAACUCAUACAGACUUCGGCUACACCAUCAAAGCUUUAAGAAGCAACAAGAGUUUUGGUUAGUGUUUUGGAGUCAAAUAAGACUAUAUGUCAUCUGUAGUAUUGAAUAUAAGAACUAGAAUCGCAACCGGUUCCCAAAACCCAAAGUAGUGUUUCCUUGUUAGAAGAUAGAAAGCCAAAUACUCAUACGGACUUUGGCUUCACCAUAAAAGUUUUGAGAAACAAUAAGAAGCUUGGUUAGUGUUUUCGAGUCAAAUAUGA
rnacentral:sRNA from 1 species